CUGCACCCCUGCCCAUUCAUGUGAAAUCCAUAGAUUAGGGCCUAAUGAAUUUGUUUAAGUCUUCUAUGAACUGUAACUCAGUAAAAUCUUUGAAAUUGUUGUGUUUAUAUUGUUGUUCAGGAUAUUUGUAAUUUGUGUUUGACAGCAUAUCACUGUGCGGAAAGCAGCUGAUGGCCGUGUUGUUUUAUCCAAGUUCCAGAAGUACCAAUUGUAUCAUUGCCCCUUCUGCCAGCUCUCCAUUUUCAAGCCCCGAGACUAUGCCAGUGUGUCGGCACACAUUGAGUCUCACAGAUUGAAGGCUGUGCUGCAUAGAGAGUUCACAAUAUUCAUGUGCCAUUUGGAGUGCAUAGAGCAGCAAAGCAUUUUCACAGCCCAUACUGCCCCAAGAUCUAUGUAAAUAGGAGUGAUUUUACCAAACACAUUCUACAAUGUGAGUCAGUAUAUGGGCGAGACCCAGGUGCAACUGCGAGAGGCCCAGAUGUAACCAGUGCAACUGCGAGAGGCCCAGAUUUAACAAAUGCAACUGCGAGAGGCCCAGAUGUAACCCGUGCAGAUGUAACCCGUGCAACUGCGAGAGGCCCAGAUGUAACCUGUGCAGCUGCGAGAGACCCAGAUGUAACCAGUGCAGAUGUAACCAGUGCAACUGCGAGAGACCCAGGUUCAGCGUGUCCAGCUAUGAGACCUGCAAGCAAGAGGAAAAUCAAAUGUCGUAACUGCAGUUUAUGGCUUAACAAAAAUGAUGAAGAAACAUCAAUUAAGGAAGCAUACAUCUGCUGAGAAGUACAUUACAGCUCACUCCAAUCUCAAAAAACAGUGCUUUGACCAGGACAAUUGGGUGUUUGCAAAGGAUCAACACAUUUUACCUGUCUCUCCUUCUGAUGAAGGAUCAGCAAGGUCUCCAGAGCCUGGAAACUGAUCUUCAGGGGUCUGACUUCAAACUUAAAACUGAUGAACCAUUUGAGCCUAAUUAGCGGAUGCGGCGUGAAAGAUGCUGUGUGGCGUUUAAUGAGGCGCACAAUUUCCAACACGCUGGCAAAAAAACAUGAAUUGAAGAGGAGUAAAUAGAAAAAUCCCUCUUGCAUCCCUUUCUACUGAGGGAGGUUUUGAUUGCUGUUGUCCGAAGAAUCCGUUAACAUAUAGAGCGUCUGAAAGCGAUGUGGAGUCGGCCAUGAAAAAGUGGUUGCAGCUGGCAGCAUACCGGGAAGGAGUGUGGUGGCCCCUGUGCCAUGAUGGACUUGGGAAAUGGGUGGAUUUAAGUGAUAAUGCCCAAGAAGCCGUGGUGUGUAGAUUAUAUAUAUGUCAAGGGCCAGCAAACCGUGCCAAUAUAACCUCCAACAGCUUGGAGGGCAUUAUCACUUUUAUACAACGGUUACCGACCUAUUCAAAUAAUGAUUGACUUAUUUUCAUUAAAAACGUUAUUUUUGAUGAAUUGAUUCAUACUAUUUCCUUCCUUCCAUAAGAUAUAGUCCCAACACAAAUCUAAGGUGCUUUUUUCCAGCCAAGCCAACUGGUUGUUAGUUCUAUGCCAUGCUAUCUAAGCUAAAUGGCUAUACUAGACAAAAUAAAGAGAUAACUAUGCUCUGACGAAGACACAACCCCUUUUUGUUCCCUUGCAUGAAUUAAGU